rnacentral:lncRNA from 1 species
AUGCAGGGACUUGCUACAGGCAGAAGCAAUAGGGAAAAAUCCUUCAUUUCAACUUGUUUACAUGUUGGGAGUUGUGUAGAGAGCGAAGGACCCAGCUGUGUGUCUGGCACCUGGACAAAGCAGCUGCUGAGUGUGACUGUCCCUGACUGGGACAGAGCCCAGGCAGGCUGGGUGGCACUGGUGGGUCCCUCUGCCCAGACCCUGCUGCUUCUGGGGACAGCAGAGCUAGGGGCAGCAAUCCCUGUGGAUGGGGUCUCAGCUGGGGUCGGGGAGCACCUUCACCCCCUUCCCAGGGCAGUGACCCCUCUCUGUCCUGGCAGCACUGGAACUGUGUCCCUUGGUGGCUGCUGUGCCCCUGUGUCCCUGGCAUGGGCUGCCUGUGUCAUUCUGGGGGCAGAGGAGCUGCAGGGGUUUGGUUCCUGUCAGAGCCAGGUCCUCUGUACCCUGCUGGGCUCAGGGUUUGGGGACAGCUGUGUGUCCCCUCGUGUCCUGCUCAGCUGUCCCAGCCUGUGGGCAGGAGUGUGGGCUGGGCUGUGUUCAGGACAGGGAUGUCCUGGCCUGGUGAGCUGUCCCCAUCCCACUGCUGCCCCUGGGAGCAGGGAGGUGCCUUCUCUGCCAGGCUCUCUGGGAGUGACCAGGAGAAGUGGGGCUGUAAGACUCCUGUUACUGCUGAGCCCAUCUGUGUUUCCUCUGGCAGCCUGUUCCUUACCCCAGGUUUUGGGGAUGCAGCUCCCUGCUGCUCCCCCAGUGCCCCACAUCCAGCUCUGCUCCUUCCCUGCCUUGGGACACCUUGGCCUGUCCCAUGUCCCACUGCCUGCAGGAAUCAGUGCUGUUCCUGCCCAGGCUGUGGGAGAGACAGAGCUCAGUUCCUCCCAGCUGGGGAGGGAAGGUUUGUUCUGCUUCUGCCUCUUUCCCAUGUUUAUCCCCCAUUUAUCUUCACCCCUGGCUGCAGCGGUGGAAUGUCCCUGGAGCAGCAGUCAGCUCUCAGAUCUGGCUCUUGCCUCUCACCUGUUGCUCAGCAGGCAGCCCCUGCUUCCCAGCCCUCCCAGAGCAGCUCCUUCCCUGGAAAAGCCAGGCCAUUCUACCAUGGUCAUGCUGUGCUGGUGUCCUGCUUGUGGAGCUGCUUGGCUCAAUCCAUCUCCUGAGGCUGGGGCAGGCAGGAAUCCUGCCAGGGACCUCCAUCAUCUCCCCUUCCUUUCCCCAGGGUCCAGCCUAAACUGA